CCCUUAGAUGUUCUGGGCUGCACACGUGCUACACUGGCAGGUUCAGCAAGCUUCAUGCCCUGAUCUGAAAGGAAUGGAAAAUCUUUUCAAAACCUGCCGUGCUUGGGAUAGAUGUUUGCAAUUAUUCAUCUUCAACGAGGAUUGCCUUGUAAGCGCACGUCAUCAGCGUGCAUUGAAUACGACCCUGUAUUCUGUACACACCGCCCGUCGCUCCUACCGAUUGAAGUUUUCGGUGAGUUGACAGGAGGAUUUUUUUGAAACUGGUUCGCCAGUGGAUUUUAGAUCCAAAUGCCAACGAAUCGAUGGCUUUAGAGGAAGGAGAAGUCGUAACA
rnacentral:rRNA from 1 species